rnacentral:rRNA from 1 species
GACGUAGGGCGCGAGCGUUGUCCGGAUUUAUUGGGCGUAAAGAGCUCGUAGGCGGCUUGUUGCGUCAGCUGUGAAAACCCGCAGCUCAACUGUGGGCUUGCAGCUGAUACGGGCAGGCUUGAGUUCGGUAGGGGAGACUGGAAUUCCUGGUGUAGCGGUGAAAUGCGCAGAUAUCGGGAGGAACACCAGUGGCGAAGGCGACUACCUGGCCUGUUCUUGACGCUGAGGCGCGAAAGCUAGGGGAGCAAACGGG